rnacentral:misc_RNA from 1 species
AAAUCAUUUUGCAUCUUUCGAUUCUAGCUAGAUGGAAAAUAAAGGCAAGACCUUGAGUUCCAAAAUUUCCUUGUUUCCAUCAAUGAUUAUCCAUUUCCAGGCUUAACAAAUGACACAUCCAGGAUAAGUAAAAUGUCAUUUUUAUAAAUGAUCAAUUAAAUGCAGAGGGUUGAUUGUAAUGCAGUUUCAUCUGCUCUUGGUCGCUUUGUUGAUGCUGGACUAGAUUCAUCAUCUUUUGGCUCAAGAUUCUUGUCAGUUCUGUUUUCUAGAGCCUUGUGCUUUCUGCUUACACUCUGGGAGCUUUCUUCCAGUGUAACACAACCAUCGCUUCUACCAACCACAAUUUUGGCAUGUUCCGGCUCUGAGACU